rnacentral:rRNA from 1 species
GGGGAAUAUUGCGCAAUGGGGGGAACCCUGACGCAGCAACGCCGCGUGAGUGAAGAAGGCCUUCGGGUCGUAAAGCUCUGUCGAGAGGGAAGAAGUCUCUAGGGAGAAUAUCUUUAGAGGUGACGGUACCUUUUAAGGAAGCCCCGGCUAACUACGUGCCAGCAGCCGCGGUAAAACGUAGGGGGCGAGCGUUGUCCGGAAUUACUGGGCGUAAAGGGCGUGUAGGCGGCUAGGUAAGUCAGGGGUGAAAACUUUUGGCUCAACCAGGAGACUGCACUUGAAACUGCGUAGCUUGAGGGUAGGAGAGGAAAGUGGAAUUCCUAGUGUAGCGGUGAAAUGCGUAGAUAUUAGGAGGAACACCAGUGGCGAAGGCGACUUUCUGGCCUAACCCUGACGCUGAGGCGCGAAAGCGUGGGGAGCAAAC